CCAGCCCCCAGCCCCCCCACCGUUUUUAAUAUUUUAUAUGGAGACAAGUUCUCACUGAGUUGCUUAGGGCUUCACUAGGUUUCUGAGCCUGAUGAACUCGCCAUCCUGCCUCAGGAUCCCAAGCCACUGGAAUUACAGGUGGAUGCCACCUGACCUGUCUCUGAAGUUGUCUUUAUAGGAAAGAGCUGGGGGAGAAGUAACUAUGCAAGAACAGGGUGACUUGUGAGAAAGUUGAGCUAGGAGCUAGCACAGAACUGGGGGGAGGAGGGCGGAACUGGGGGCAGAUGUGGCUGAGGAGAUGCUGAUUACAGCGAAUAGGCAGAGCUGUGGCUAAGAAUUGGGGAAGUUGCUGAAUGCUCAAGCACUCUGUAAGGAGCUGGUGCAGAGAUGCAGGCAGAUCUUUGGAGAAAGCUGGGGAAAGACCUAGUGCUGCACCAGGGAGGGGGGACCUAUGGUCAAGUUGGGGGAGGAGCCCACAGAGCUGUGGGAGGAGCUGCCAGAUGCACAGGGCAGAAGUGAGGAGGAAGCUUAGGGUUUCUGUGCUGCACUCUUAGUCAAGAGGGGAAAAUGGCCAAACCAGGGUCCUCAUGGACCUAACCGAACCCUGAGUGUGUACUUUAGGGUGCACUCCAGAGGAGUAGCAGCUGGGAGUUCAGGGCUGAGGCUUGCACCACAGGGAUGAACCCCCCACAGCUUUCCUUUCCCCUAGAUGCAUUUUGGUUCCUGCCAGUGAGGCUGGGAAUAACCGUCUUUUGUUUUGAAGGGAGCUGAAUAGCACCACCCUAUGUGCUGCUGCCCCUCAGACCUAAGUUGCCAAAACCACCUCCCAACUUCCGUGCCAACCUGGCUUUUCGUCUUUCACACCACAACCUUCCCUCAGGAUCACCAUGCUUCCUUACACUGUCCUGCCUAGUGACUGGAGAGCCAAGUUCUAGGUCCCUGCCUCUACCUUACAUGUAAGAAGACAGAUUCCUCUUCCUUUGUUCCCUUUGCUACUUGCUGAGGUCAGGCCACAUUCUCUGGUGUCUGUGCUAUCCCCUGAUUUUCCUGACUGGCCUAGAGUCCUGUGUUGCGUCUUUUCUGUUGGUCCUCCAUCAUACAGUACCCCUCACUCUCUACCUUGCAAAUCAGUCCCCUACUGAAAACCUGCCAAGCCUUCUCCUGUAGGGGUGCAGGCGCCUCAAGUUUCAGCCCGAGCUCUCUCCCCCCUUCUGGACUAACACUGGCCAGAGUCAAAGUGUGCUUUGGGGUACCUGGUCCCUGACCCAACCUGUUCCACAGGACUCCUUGCUUUGAAGCUAUGGUUCGUACAGAAUUGAAUGCCCAUCCCCUCUUAUCCUGACAACCUAUCCUCCAAGCACAACUUUCAAUUCACCUUCACUGUUGCACAAUCAAGUGUCCUAUUUCUGGUAGCCUUCCUUCUGGUAGACCCAUGCUCCAAGCAUUGGGUCCUUGUAACCCAGAGCUGCAACUGCUCUCCCGGAGUCUGUGGCCACAGCAGGAUCUCUAAGUUCCUGGAAGGCAAGGCUGCUUUUACUCCUUUCUGUAAUCUGGGUGCCGGGCAUAGUAGCUGCUUAGUAAACAUCAGAUGGACCAGAGGAGUGCUCUCUCCCAGUGAGAGGUACUUGUACUUUUCCUGGAGAAGCUCAAGAAAACAGGAAAGCUGGAGGUAAAGUGAGUGGGAGAGGGUACCUUGUUCACAUGAGGGAGGCCUUAGGGCUCAAGGAGCCUUAAAGUUCAUAUGGGACUCCCACCUAGGUUGGUGUCCCCUCCAGGCCUCUUUCCUCCACAAAUCGUUCCAGCCCCUGCCCAGCACCACGGCAUCUCCUCAGAGCUGUUUGGAAUGUAAGUGAGGGUCCCAUCAAUGUGUGCCGUUCCUGUUCUUAGGCCCUGUUGUUUGAUGAGCUGGAACUUGCCUAAGGAGCUGGAUUCUCAUAGCACAUGGCUGCUAGUGGGGGCCUCCAUGGGGACAUAAUGUAAGCGCUCCUGCUUCUGACUCCUGGGCUGUUCCUUGCUCUCGUGUAUGCUGAGAAGUGGGGUGCAGUUCACAGAUGAAUGCACCAUCUCCCUGGGCAUAAGAGUGCCCAGCAGAGGCCUGAUCUGCUGUCUGAUCAGGAGGUGAAGUCCCGGGGUAGCAGCUGCAAGUCCAGCUCUCUGCUGCAGCAGUGGGUGGGGCCUUGGAAGCAUCGCCUCAGUAGGUUUUGCGUGGGGAGGUCUUUGGCUGCCACAGGGAAAAGGACAAGGAUGCUUUUGCAUCUUGAUUUUCAUUACACAUAACAAGUCAGUGGCAGCCCUGAAAAUGGGCUGAUGUCUGACCUCCUGAUCACAUUCUCUUCACUAGCUGCUCCCUGUCUCCCCUCAUGGACCAAAUCCUGGUGGGGACUCACUCCCACCUUCUCUGGCCAUCACGGGUCAGGUGUGCCCUCCCCUCCCCAGACCCAUCUCACUUCUUCCUUCCACUGUGUUUUCCUUGCAGGGGCUCCAGAGCCUCCAGGCCAGCAGUAGCCUGCAGAUAUGUGGAACCCUUUGGGGUUCCUUCCUCUGCUCCUUCUCAGGCACCUUCUCCUUGUCUACUCCCCACUAACACUGAGCUUUGCUCAACUCCUGGGAUCAGGAUUGAGUCUCCUCCACCAGCUCUGCUUUCUUCUCCAGACCAAGCCUUCAGCACAGGAGCCUUUGAGGGCUAUUCCAGAUUCAAAGUAAAACAGACGCAGAUAGUAGAAGAGCCAAGUAUGACCUUUGUGUGUUUCUGUGAAUUUAUGGUGCCAAAACAUUAUUAGCAGCUUUUAAUUUAAUCAGA
rnacentral:lncRNA from 1 species